GAGGAACUUACCGCGGAGCUUGCCCGGA
rnacentral:piRNA from 1 species